AAUCAUCACUUGCAAGUAAAAAGCUAAGUGUCACCCCGUUCAAGAGGAAAGCUGUGGAAAGUCAACAAGCACAACCAAUGAUUACUUAUUAGUUUUAUUCAUUAUCUUUUAUCGUAAUUUUCAAUUUUUCGUUUGCAAUUUUUUUUAAUUAAUUUUCUUGCGUACUUAACUGAAUUAUUUCUUUUCUUUGCAGGAACUUUUGGUUAUUUCCACCCUUGAAGUUGAUUGCAGAAUUUUAGCUUGGGGGUCAUCGCUUGAUUUUACUGCAAAUUAGGGAAGUUUUCAGUCCAAUUGCGUU
rnacentral:lncRNA from 1 species